CCUACGGGAGGCAGCAGUGAGGAAUAUUGGUCAAUGGACGAGAGUCUGAACCAGCCAAGUAGCGUGAAGGAUGACUGCCCUAUGGGUUGUAAACUUCUUUUAUAUGGGAAUAAACUGUUCCACGUGUGGGAUUUUGUAUGUACCUUAUGAAUAAGGGUCGGCUAACUCCGUGCCAGCCGCCGCGGUAAUACGGAGGGUCCGAGCGUUAUCCGGAUUUAUUGGGUUUAACGGAAGCGUAGGUGGAUUGUUAAGUCAGUUGUGAAGGUUUGCGGCUCAACCGUAAAAUUGCAGUUGAAACUGGCAGUCUUGAGUACAGUAGGGAUGGGCGGAAUUCGUGGUGUAGUGGUGAAAUGCGUAGAUAUCACGAAGAACUCCGAUGGCGAAGGCAGUUCACUGGACUGCAACUGACACUGAGGCUCGAAAGUGUGGGUAUCAAACAGGAUUAGAUACCCGGGUAGUC
rnacentral:rRNA from 1 species